UUUCACUCUCUGUCUCUCUCUUUCACUCUCUCUGUCUCUCUCUCUGUCACUCUUUCUGUUUCAGUGCAAAUGGUUUAAAAAAAAAAAUCCAUCUCAAUCUCUGACUCAGUGAGAGACUAAGAUUAAGUGCACAAUCAUGCACCCACGUUCAUAUUGGAGUCAGACUAACUCAGUUUACAGUCUAAACCCCAUGUCAGGGCCAGUACAAGUAAAAACCGUGUGUGUGUGUGUGUGUGUGUGUGUGAGGUUUCAUGUGGAUGAACUAUGAAGGAGUCUGUAGUCCUGACCUCUGUGAUCGUUUACUCUGUUAACCGCAGGAUCAAAGUCACUCAGAUCUGGGAGCGGGCGGUCAUGGCAACAAAAGCCAUAUUGUAAACCCUGAUCAGACAAAAUACUUAUAUAGUCUCCACAGUCACAUGGUCACCUCCUCCAAACAUCCAGCAGAAACAUUUUGUCCUUUUUCUGACUGUUCUGUUGCCUUUAUCUCAGAAAGCCUUUAGUUUCUCUCCUCUCUGCCUCUAUAAUGGUGCUCAGCUCACCUCAACCUGUCCUGGUUAACAAAGGCUUCAAGACAGACACACACACACACACACACACACACUGCCCCAACGCCCAUUUACCAGCAGCACCUGAAAAGGUGUCAUUUGUUCGUAAAGACAUUAUUGUCCUCUGAAGAUUAGUUACCAUGACAUCGUCUCUGCUUACACUUAAACAGACGCUGUUUAAUUUGGAAGGAGAAGAAAACACUUACGCUCCGUCGCUUCCAAAGAAAACACAGUUACAAGUCACAACGUGGAGCGAGUAGCGGUUCAUAGAGAGAGUCAUCUUCUGAAGGAGUUGUGCAUGUUUCUGGUGAGAGAUACUGUCUAGUGGGAGGUGGGGUAGUAAUGCUGUCUAGUGGGAGGUGGUGUAGUAAUGCUGUCUAGUGGGAGGUGGGGUAGCGGUUCAUAGAGAGAGUCAUCUUCUGAAGGAGUUGUGCAUGUUUCUGGUGAGAGAUACUGUCUAGUGGGAGGUGGGGUAGUAAUGCUGUCUAGUGGGAGGUGGUGUAGUAAUGCUGUCUAGUGGGAGGUGGGGUAGCGGUUCAUAGAGAGAGUCAUCUUCUGAAGGAGUUGUGCAUGUUUCUGGUGAGAGAUACUGUCUAGUGGGAGGUGGAGUAGUAAUGCUGUCUAGUGGGAGGUGGAGUAGUAAUACUGUCUAGUGGGAGGUGGAGUAGUAAUACUGUCUAGUGGGAGGUGGGGUAGUAAUGCUGUCUAGUGGGAGGUGGGGUAGCGGUUCAUAUAGAGAGUCAUCUUCUGAAGGAGUUGUGCAUGUUUCUGGUGAGAGAUGCUGUCUAGUGGGAGGUGGGGUAGUAAUACUGUCUGGUGAGAGAUGCUGUCUAGUGGGAGGUGGGGUAGUAAUGCUGUCUGGUGAGAGAUGCUGUCUAGUGGGAGGUGGGGUAGCGGUUCAUAUAGAGAGUCAUCUUCUGAAGGAGUUGUGCAUGUUUCUGGUGAGAGAUGCUGUCUAGUGGGAGGUGGAGUAGUAAUACUGUCUAGUGGGAGGUGGGGUAGUAAUGCUGUCUAGUGGGAGGUGGGGUAGCGGUUCAUAUAGAGAGUCAUCUUCUGAAGGAGUUGUGCAUGUUUCUGGUGAGAGAUGCUGUCUAGUGGGAGGUGGAGUAGUAAUACUGUCUAGUGGGAGGUGGGGUAGUAAUGCUGUCUAGUGGGAGGUGGGGUAGCGGUUCAUAUAGAGAGUCAUCUUCUGAAGGAGUUGUGCAUGUUUCUGGUGAGAGAUGCUGUCUAGUGGGAGGUGGGGUAGUAAUACUGUCUAGUGGGAGGUGGGGUAGCGGUUCAUAGAGAGAGUCAUCUUCUGAAGGAGUUGUGCAUGUUUCUGGUGAGAGAUGCUGUCUAGUGGGAGGU